GUGCUCUCUUCGGCAGCACAUACACUAAAAUUAAAACAAGGCAAAGAAGAUCACCUUUCCUGCACAAGGAAAAUAUGCAAAUCUGUGAAGCAUUCCAUAUCAUU